UACAGAGGGUGCGAGCGUUAAUCGGAAUUACUGGGCGUAAAGGGCGCGUAGGCGGUUGUAUAAGAGUGAUGUGAAAGCCCUGGGCUUAACCUGGGAAGUGCAUCGCUGACUGUACAGCUAGAGUUUAGGAGAGGGUGGUGGAAUUUCCGGUGUAGCGGUGAAAUGCGUAGAGAUCGGAAGGAACGUCGAUGGCGAAGGCAGCCACCUGGCCGAUGACUGACGCUGAGGCGCGAGAGCGUGGGGAGCAAACAGGAUUAGAUACCCUGGUAGUCCACGCUGUAAACGAUGAAGACUAGAUGUUGGUAGGGGAACCUAUUAGUAUCGAAGCUAACGCGAUAAGUCUUCCGCCUGGGAAGUACGGCCGCAAGGUUGAA
rnacentral:rRNA from 1 species